UACGGAGGUGGCAAGCGUUGCUCGGAAUCACUGGGCGUAAAGGGCGCGUAGGCGGAGAGGUAAGUCGGGUGUGAAAUCCCUCGGCCCAACCGAGGAACUGCGCCCGAGACUGCUUCUCUUGAGUCCCGGAGAGGAAGGUGGAAUUCCCGGUGUAGCGGUGAAAUGUGUAGAGAUCGGGAGGAACACCGGUGGCGAAGGCGGCCUUCUGGACGGUGACUGACGCUGAGGCGCGAAAGCGUGGGGAGCAAACGGG
rnacentral:rRNA from 1 species